rnacentral:rRNA from 1 species
GAUGAACGCUGGCGGCGUGCCUAAUACAUGCAAGUCGAGCGAACAGACGAGGAGCUUGCUCCUCUGACGUUAGCGGCGGACGGGUGAGUAACACGUGGAUAACCUACCUCUAAGACUGGGAUAACUUCGGGAAACCGGAGCUAAUACCGGAUAAUAUAUUGAACCGCAUGGUUCAAUAGUGAAAGACGGUUUUGCUGUCACUUAUAGAUGGAUCCGCGCCGCAUUAGCUAGUUGGUAAGGUAACGGCUUACCAAGGCAACGAUGCGUAGCCGACCUGAGAGGGUGAUCGGCCACACUGGAACUGAGACACGGUCCAGACUCCUACGGGAGGCAGCAGUAGGGAAUCUUCCGCAAUGGGCGAAAGCCUGACGGAGCAACGCCGCGGGAGUGAUGAAGGUCUUCGGAUCGUAAAACUCUGUUAUUAGGGAAGAACAAAUGUGUAAGUAACUAUGCACGUCUUGACGGUACCUAAUCAGAAAGCCACGGCUAACUACGUG